CACGGCUUCGACGGGGAGGGCUGAACGCAAGUGGCAAGCAGCGGCGCCUGACCGCUCUAAAACGGGCACAAGUGUAUGUGCGAACAACCGCACCAACCUCGCGGCGCUCCCGCUCGCUGCAUAAGCGAUUAGGAUCAAAGUAGAGGUCCGCAGUUAAAUCUGCGGCGUCCGCUUAUGGGUUCCCCCGAAACGCGUAAGUCGGGCGUAACCAAGUUGGGGUAUCUCGGUCGCAAUGCCGAUAGCGACUGACGAAUCACAUGCAAAACAUGUGCAUCGGCUCGGCGCAAGCAAUUCUGACAGUCGAGUCCGUUUGCGCAAGUUAGUUGCACGGGACAUGCAAAUGUCCGGUGCGACCCCAAAGACUGCCUAAGCUUGUAGUCACUUGUGUUCGAACUUUUCGGACGCGGGU
rnacentral:tmRNA from 1 species